CUGUUUAUCAUGAAGGCUGACAGAUUCAUGUGCUAACUGUCUUGUGUGACCAUGGAUUUUGAGCUACAGAAAAAACUGAGAUGAAUUUGGUAAUUUGAAAAAUGCAAAGCAAAUUGAAGAUCUUGAAAAAUUGAAAGGAAUUCUUCGGACAGAUCUGCAAAUUUCCAGUAUAAUGUUUUAAGAGUUAUCUAUGACAACAAUGAAAUGGGAAGAACCCUUGUGAACUGACCCAUCGCCCAAUCCAUACUACAACAGUGAAGGAGAGCACCAUAAGGAAACAGAAUGGAAAGAAUAAACCUUGGAGGAAUGACUUCAGGAUUUUGUGGGCAAGUUCAUGCAAGUUUUAAAAUCCUAUAUGGUCAUUCUGAUGUGGUGGUCCAUGAAAAUGUGUGUCACAACAAUUGUGUUAAUCUUGGAAGUAACACAAAUCUUUUGUAUACAUUGAUAGGACCGCUUUCACUCAGUGGUUUAUGUCAGCAUGGCAUUGAUCAAACUUUGCUGAGUUGAUUAAUAUCCACUGAUACUGACCAUAGGAAGGGGCUUCCUAGAGCACAGUCAGCUUGCUCAGCCUGUCUAUCUGUAAGUAUAGCAGGUACCCCACUUCCCCCAGUUAGAAGCACUGUGGAUGAGGCCUAAAUGGAUAUCAAUGUAUGUGAAGAAGGCUCAUUCCAUGUGGGCAUGAAUCCUGUUCAACUAGGGGUGUGUGUGGUGUUUGGGUACGUUUUUGCUUUUGUUUUGCCAGAGGGGCAUGAGCAAUGUGUGUUUCUUGGUCUAAGGAUGGGGAUACCUGAGUGUAUUCUUAGAAGUGUCACGACCUACUUGCAGGGUCCUCCCUAGAAGAAGGCAUGCCUCAGUUGGAGGGUUGUGGAGAUUUGCUGGAGGCUCCAGCCACCGGACCCUGCCCAAAGACACCAGAAGCAAAGCCUGGUCCAACUAACGAAGACUCAUUUCCUCCAAAAGAAAGGGUGCCUCAGAGGAAUAACAAAGAAUACGGGAAGACCAAAGAACAGCUGAGAUGAAAUAAACUUCUUUGACAAAAACA
rnacentral:lncRNA from 1 species